GAGUUUGAUCAUGGCUCAGAUUGAACGCUGGCGGCAGGCUUAACACAUGCAAGUCGAGCGGGGGAGAUUGCUUCGGUAAUUGACCUAGCGGCGGACGGGUGAGUAAUACUUAGGAAUCUGCCUAUUAAUGGGGGGACAACAUCUCGAAAGGGAUGCUAAUACCGCAUACGCCCUACGGGGAAAGGCAGGGGAGUCACUUGUGACCUUGCGUUAAUAGAUGAGCCUAAGUCGGAUUAGCUAGUUGGUGGGGUAAAGG
rnacentral:rRNA from 1 species